rnacentral:rRNA from 1 species
GCAGUCGAGCGACAGAUAGGAGCUUGCUCCUUUGACGUUAGCGGCGGACGGGUGAGUAACACGUGGAUAACCUACCUAUAAGACUGGGAUAACUUCGGGAAACCGGAGCUAAUACCGGAUAACAUAUUGAACCGCAUGGUUCAAUAGUGAAAGGCGGCUUUGCUGUCACUUAUAGAUGGAUCCGCGCCGUAUUAGCUAGUUGGUAAGGUGACGGCUUACCAAGGCAACGAUACGUAGCCGACCUGAGAGGGUGAUCGGCCACACUGGAACUGAGACACGGUCCAGACUCCUACGGGAGGCAGCAGUAGGGAAUCUUCCGCAAUGGGCGAAAGCCUGACGGAGCAACGCCGCGUGAGUGAUGAAGGUCUUCGGAUCGUAAAACUCUGUUAUCAGGGAAGAACAAAUGUGUAAGUAACUGUGCACAUCUUGACGGUACCUGAUCAGAAAGCCACGGCUAACUACGUGCCAGCAGCCGCGGUAAUACGUAGGUGGCAAGCGUUAUCCGGAAUUAUUGGGCGUAAAGCGCGCGUAGGCGGUUUUUUAAGUCUGAUGUGAAAGCCCACGGCUCAACCGUGGAGGGUCAUUGGAAACUGGAAAACUUGAGUGCAGAAGAGGAAGUGGAAUUCCAUGUGUAGCGGUGAAAUGCGCAGAGAUAUGGAGGAACACCAG